rfam:Oceanobacillus iheyensis HTE831 DNA, complete genome.
AGAACCUUUAAAAAAUAGUCCAGAGAGGCUAGAAAGGGAUCGUAUGUUACAUGUAAAAGUAUGCCCUUUUUCCUUUCUUGGAAAAGGGCAUUUUUAGA